AAUUUAUUUCAAACACAAAUUUCAAAUUAUAUAUAUUUGUAAUGUGUAGUCAUUUAUUAUAUAUAAGAAUGAUAUAUUAUAACUUUACAAUGCAUAAAUUUGACAAAAAUAUUUUUUAUGAUUUAUAUAUCCAAAUAUAUUAAGAAUAUACUAGUUUAAUGAAACUAUUUGACACAAAAAUGAAACUAAUGGCUAGACAUGUUGGUUUAAGUCUAAUCAAUUGUAGUAAUUGCCAAGCAAUAUUGUUAGGUUAGCAUUAACACAAGCUUUCUCACGUAUCUACCUCUCUAGACUCUAAAAUAAUUAUUGUGGCAUUGAUAUCAAAUCUACAACGAGGUGAAGAGUAGUUCUUUCUUCAUCUGUCCCAACCGUAUCUCUAUUUUCACUCCAAAGCAAGUUUAAGCAAAAUUCUAGCAAAGGAGCUUCAGUCCACUUCUCUUUAACUGGCUGAUUUGGAUUCUCUCAGCCCCAAUUAUAUUUUGGAUCACGUGAAAUCAGGUGGUGUAGUUGCUAUUCUCAAGGGGACAAAGAAAUAAAAUCUUGUGUUUUUGAUACCCGUGACAAGGAAAGAAAUUAGUUCACAAUAUAAUUAUCAGUCCAACGUACGGUUGCACACUGGUCUUGGUAAAUUUCCUGAAUUUAUCUUCUUCAUUUUUUUGCUUUUGUUUCGGUAUUGUUAUAAUCAACAAAAUAUUAUUUUAUUCUUUAUUUUUGCUAAUUAAA